rnacentral:rRNA from 1 species
UCCGUAGGUGAACCUGCGGAGGGA